rnacentral:misc_RNA from 1 species
UCUCCGUUGGUGAACCAGCGGAGGGAUCAUUACCGAAUUUUUCUACUCCCAAACCCCUGUGAACUUAUACCUUUACUGUUGCUUCGGCGGGUUAACGCCCCGGAAGGCCCAAAAAGCCGCCGGAACCAGGCGCCCGCCGGGGGACCCAAACUCUUGUAUUUCUUACUUUGCAUGUCUGAGUGGAAUCAUAAACAAAUGAAUCAAAACUUUCAACAACGGAUCUCUUGGUUCUG